rnacentral:rRNA from 1 species
GAUGAACGCUGGCGGCGUGCCUAAUACAUGCAAGUCGAGCGAACGGACGAGAAGCUUGCUUCUCUGAUGUUAGCGGCGGACGGGUGAGUAACACGUGGAUAACCUACCUAUAAGACUGGGAUAACUUCGGGAAACCGGAGCUAAUACCGGAUAAUAUUUUGAACCGCAUGGUUCAAAAGUGAAAGACGGUCUUGCUGUCACUUAUAGAUGGAUCCGCGCUGCAUUAGCUAGUUGGUAAGGUAACGGCUUACCAAGGCAACGAUGCAUAGCCGACCUGAGAGGGUGAUCGGCCACACUGUAACCGAGACACGGUCCUGACUCCUACGGGGGGCAGCAGUAGGGAAUCUUCCGCAAUGGGCGAAAGCCUGACGGAGCAACGCCGCGUGAGUGAUGAAGGUCUUCGGAUCGUAAAACUCUGUUAUUAGGGAAGAACAUAUGUGUAAGUAACUGUGCACAUCUUGACGGUACCUAAUCAGAAAGCCACGGCUAACUACGUG